GGGCUCGCUUGAAGCCACAUUAUACUAAAAUUGGGACGAUACAGAGAAGAUAGCCUGGAGGGGGGCCCCUGCGCAAAGGAUGACAUAGCGCAAAUUCCGUGAAACGGUCCAUAUGUCC
rnacentral:snRNA from 14 species